AAAUUGAAGAGUUUGAUCAUGGCUCAGAUUGAACGCUGGCGGCAGGCCUAACACAUGCAAGUCGAACGGUAACAGGAAACAGCUUGCUGUUUCGCUGACGAGUGGCGGACGGGUGAGUAAUGUCUGGGAAACUGCCCGAUGGAGGGGGAUAACUACUGGAAACGGUAGCUAAUACCGCAUAACGUCGCAAGACCAAAGAGGGGGACCUUCGGGCCUCUUGCCAUCGGAUGUGCCCAGAUGGGAUUAGC
rnacentral:rRNA from 1 species